GCCCGCAGCCCGGCGCCAUUUGCGGCCCUUCCUGCGCGGGGGGCCCGGGGCGCUGCGGCCGGGGCGUGAAGUCGGGGUUCCUGAGAUCGCGGGCCCGGCUCAUCCUUCCGCCGGAACUCCCCGCCCUGGGGCUCAGGUAAUAGCGCGGGCGCGGCCGCAGGUGGCCCCGGCUUUGCGGCACUGCUGCCGGCCCCCGCCGCGCUGCCCGUAUGGUUCCGAUCCCCAGCUUCUCUCCCGUCACAGCCUGCGCGAAUCCGCACGCCGGCGCAGCGGCAAGGUCGGACGGCUGCGGGCGGCCCCGCCGGAGGCACGGCGGUGCGCUGGCCCCUCGCCUUCGUCCGCGGUUCCGUGGCUGUUCCUGCGCCCCGUGCUCGCGCACCUCCGCGCACCAAAGCCCUGCGUGGGGAUAAAAGUCUGGACCAAGCGGACGUGCGUCAAGGACAGCCCGAAGAGCUGCAGCCUGAUUCUGGCUGCUCCGUUCGAGGGCCCUUCCUGCGUGGGGGCAGGCUGAGGUGCCGUCACGUACCGGGGACGCGCUCACACGAGGCUCGCCCUCUCUUCACCAUAGCCUGGACAGUCCGGGACUCCCUCGCGUUGUCCCAUCCUUUCUGUUGUCUCGCCCCAUCCUUUCUGUUGUCUUUUAGCUGGAGGUGCCUUGCAGCUGUCCUGGAGAAGCACCCAGAUAGUUCUGGACCCAAAAAUCUGGUGUCAGAGUUCUUGUUAUUGUCAUAAAAACAUGAUCUCUUAGAUGGCCAUGCUUCCCUACGUGCACAGGAGCUGGGAAAAUCAGACGUAACAAAUGUCGACACCAAGACUUACCACUCUGAGUUGUAUCAGCGCAGGAUGCCGGUUUCGUUGCACCGUGUCGUGGUUCAGCCCCAGCCGGCAGCUGAGCACCAUGUGGCCGCUUGCUCCCCCCCGCAUUCCCCCCCCGCCCCCACGGGAUGAGGAGGAGAAUUGAAAGAAAAAGGAAAUGAGACUGCUUGGCUCAAGUUCUUUGCUUCAUUCAUUAUUUGAAGACUAUUGUGCAAGGGGGUUGGAGAUAAACGCUUGAACUCUGUAAUAGUAGAGAUCUAAAUCUAGAUCCGAAUUUCUGUGUCUUGGACCCAUUUAAUGUGUAUCAGUCAAAGACAGCGCUGCACUGGAUCUUGGGAAAGGUCUCUUUUGUAGCGCACACAGCUUCCAAGAGCUGUGCUGCCUUUCGCCUCUGGGAUUAUGGGCUUCCUGAGCUGGGCUGCGCAAUAUUACGUCUCUCUGACAACAGAUGCAAUAAAAGCACUCCCGUUCACUGCAGCCCCAGUUCCGAUCAUGAAGAUGCUUCAAAAUUAAAACCUCAGUAGACGUGGGACAAGUCCAGUCUGUUCCCCUGAACAAGAGAAGCCUGUGAAAACCCACGAGCAUGCUGCACGCAGGAGUUAUCCUUAAACUUUCUCCCAGGAAUUCCUGCUCCUGGUGUGCGCUGGCACGGCGGUACCGUGACCCGGUGCCGGAAUACCUUCACCCCAGCAGUUCAGCUCCUUUAUGUGGCUGGUGAGCCAUCGACACUUGCAACAAGAGGCCGUGAGGUGAAGUCCCCACACGCUGCAAAGGCAAGAAGCUGGUCUUCAGAGCCGGGAUGUUUAUAGGAGACUCUGUAACAGCAGCUUUGUUCUCUUGCAUGUACAGGAGUCAUACUGUAAUCAGUACGACCAUUUAAAGGUCACGUUAAGCUGAGAAAUUGCACACAUUUGCUGGGGGGGAGGGGCAGGGGGGCGGAAUUUCCAAAGACUCUAAAGACUUUCAAAGAGCAUGACCUGAAAUGUAAAAAUAUACGUAUUUAGUGCUUGGGAAUCGUAGUGGAAAAUAUUAUCAGCACCUGAUGAUGGCCAAGUCUGGCAGAAAAACAUUAGACACGCUUCCAUUUUCCAUCCCUGCUGCUGGUGGUUUGGGUUUCAUUUUACUUCGAUGAGCUUCUACGAAGUGUUUCCAAAGCGGCGUGCUUGUCUUUUACGGAAACCGGCCUUUCAGCUCCGUUUGGGCCAGCCUGCACCGAUCUUCCCGCAGGUUUCUGUGCCGGUAACGGCCGAGGGUUCUGCGCAGCGCGGCACGCCUCCCGCCAGCUGCGGGCCGGGGCCCCGCGGCAGCAGCCCGAGCUCCGAGGGACGGCCCCGGCCGUGUCGCACGCACCGCGGUCCCGCAGGGCCGAGCGGACACCCCGCUCCCGG